GAUGAACGCUGGCGGCGUGCUUAACACAUGCAAGUCGAACGGAAAGGCCCAAGCUUGCUUGGGUCCUCGAGUGGCGAACGGGUGAGUAACACGUGGGUGAUCUGCCCUGCACUUCGGGAUAAGCCUGGGAAACUGGGUCUAAUACCGGAUAGGACCACAUUUUGGAUGGUGUGGUGGAAAGGUUUUCGGUGUGGGAUGAGCUCGCGGCCUAUCAGCUUGUUGGUGGGGUAAUGGCCUACCAAGGCGUCGACGGGUAGCCGGCCUGAGAGGGUGUACGGCCACAUUGGGACUGAGAUACGGCCCAGACUCCUACGGGAGGCAGCAGUGGGGAAUAUUGCACAAUGGGCGCAAGCCUGAUGCAGCGACGCCGCGUGGGGGAUGACGGCCUUCGGGUUGUAAACUCCUUUCGCUAGGGACGAAGCGCAAGUGACGGUACCUGGAGAAGAAGCACCGGCUAACUACGUG
rnacentral:rRNA from 1 species